AGGCCUAACACAUGCAAGUCGAACGAGACCUUCGGGUCUAGUAGCGCACGGGUGCGUAACGCGUGGGAAUCUACCCUUAGGUGCGGAAUAACUCAGAGAAAUUUGAGCUAAUACCGCAUAAUGACUCCGGUCCAAAGAUUUAUCGCCUAAGGAUGAGCCCGCGUAAGAUUAGCUAGUUGGUGAGGUAAAAGCUCACCAAGGCGACGAUCUUUAGCUGGUCUGAGAGGACGACCAGCCACACUGGGACUGAGACACGGCCCAGACUCCUACGGGAGGCAGCAGUGGGGAAUAUUGGACAAUGGGCGCAAGCCUGAUCCAGCCAUGCCGCGUGAGUGAUGAAGGCCUUAGGGUUGUAAAGCUCUUUUACCAGGGAUGAUAAUGACAGUACCUGGAGAAUAAG
rnacentral:rRNA from 1 species